rnacentral:rRNA from 1 species
CGGCACGGGUGAGUAACACGUAUCCAACCUGCCGUCUACUCUUGGACAGCCUUCUGAAAGGAAGAUUAAUACAAGAUGGCAUCAUGAGUCCGCAUGUUCACAUGAUUAAAGGUAUUCCGGUAGACGAUGGGGAUACGUUCCAUUAGAUAGUAGGCGGGGUAACGGCCCACCUAGUCUUCGAUGGAUAGGGGUUCUGAGAGGAAGGUCCCCCACAUUGGAACUGAGACACGGUCCAA